rnacentral:rRNA from 1 species
UACGUAGGGUGCGAGCGUUGUCCGGAAUUAUUGGGCGUAAAGAGCUCGUAGGCGGUUUGUCGCGUCUGCUGUGAAAGCCCGGGGCUCAACCCCGGGUCUGCAGUGGGUACGGGCAGACUAGAGUGCAGUAGGGGAGACUGGAAUUCCUGGUGUAGCGGUGAAAUGCGCAGAUAUCAGGAAGAACACCCGUGGCUAAGGCGGCUCUCUAGUACGGUACUGACGCUGAGACGCGAAAGCGUGGGGAGCGAACAGG